rnacentral:rRNA from 1 species
CCUACGGGAGGCUGCAGUAGGGAAUAUUGCUCAAUGGGGGAAACCCUGAAGCAGCAACGCCGCGUGGAGGAUGAAGGUUUUCGGAUUGUAAACUCCUUUUGUUAGAGAAGAUAAUGACGGUAUCUAACGAAUAAGCACCGGCUAACUCCGUGCCAGCAGCCGCGGUAAUACGGAGGGUGCAAGCGUUACUCGGAAUCACUGGGCGUAAAGAGCGCGUAGGCGGGAUAGCAAGUCAGAUGUGAAAUCCUAUGGCUUAACCAUAGAACUGCAUUUGAAACUGUUAUUCUAGAGUAUGGGAGAGGUAGGUGGAAUUCUUGGUGUAGGGGUAAAAUCCGUAGAGAUCAAGAGGAAUACUCAUUGCGAAGGCGGCCUACUGGGCUUUAACUGACGCUGAGGCACGAAAGCAUGGGUAGCAAACAGGAUUAGAUACCCGUGUAGUC